CGGGAAUAUGACAAUAAGACGAGAAGACCCUAUGGAGCUUUAAUUAACCGACCCAAAGAGAUCUUAACAACUAACCGAUAGGGACAACAAACCUCUACCAUGGGUCGACAAUUUAGGUUGGGGUGACCUCGGAGAAUAAAACAACCUCCGAGUGAUUUAAAUCUAGACUAACCAGUCGAAAGUACUACAUCACUUAUUGAUCCAAAAACUUGAUCAACGGAACAAGUUACCCUAGGGAUAACAGCGCAAUCCUAUUUUAGAGUCCAUAUCGACAAUAGGGUUUACGACCUCGAUGUUGGAUCAGGACAUCCCGAUGGUGCAGCAGCUAUCAAAGGUUCGUUUGUUCAACGAUUAAAGUCCUACGUGAUCUGAGUUCAGACC
rnacentral:rRNA from 1 species